rnacentral:rRNA from 1 species
CACGUAGGGCGCGAGCGUUUGUCCGGAAUUAUUGGGCGUAAAGAGCUCGUAGGCGGUUUGUCGCGUCUGCUGUGAAAACCCGAGGCUCAACCUCGGGCCUGCAGUGGGUACGGGCAGACUAGAGUGCGGUAGGGGAGAUUGGAAUUCCUGGUGUAGCGGUGGAAUGCGCAGAUAUCAGGAGGAACACCGGUGGCGAAGGCGGGUCUCUGGGCCGAUACUGACGCUGAGGAGCGAAAGCGUGGGGAGCGAACAGG